rnacentral:lncRNA from 1 species
AUUGCGUGAUUAAGUGAAUAGAUGAAACGACAGCCUUACUGGAUAUCUUAGGAGAUGGUGGACGGAUUGGGUGCAUAAGGAACCCUAUUGUGAAUGUUACCUCAUACCAGACAAGGUAUCGAGAUUUGAUAAUUUGGUGCUCAUACCGGAUGGAGUAUGAGGACGGUUCGUUUUACCCUCAUACCGAACAGGGUAUAUGAGGACGACCCGCUUUACCCUCAUACCGGACAGGGUAUUGAGGUUUAGUAGUUUGGUGCUCAUAACGGAUGGGGUAUUGAGCUUUAGUGGUUUGGCACUCAUAACGGACGGAGUAUAGGGAAAACCGAUUAGUUGAAAUGUUAAAGGAAAGGAUUCACGCAUUGUGAGAACAUCCCUAUGAACCUCCAUGGAUACCAGUAGGCUGAUAAAUGAUAGAAUUGCUGUUCAAAUCAAUUACAUAUGAAAUCAUGAUUUGAGUUAUGUUAUUAUCUUUAUAAGUUGUUUUGUAAAUUCACUAUGAUAAGUAGAUGGUAAAAGAUUUUGUUUAUGAUAAACGAAUUUAU